rnacentral:rRNA from 1 species
GAUGAACGCUGGCGGCGUGCUUAACACAUGCAAGUCGAACGGUGAAGGCGGAGCUUGCUCUGCUGGAUCAGUGGCGAACGGGUGAGUAACACGUGAGCAAUCUGCCCCUGACUCUGGGAUAAGCGCUGGAAACGGCGUCUAAUACUGGAUACGAGCUGCGAAGGCAUCUUCAGCAGCUGGAAAGAACUUCGGUCAGGGAUGAGCUCGCGGCCUAUCAGCUUGUUGGUGAGGUAACGGCUCACCAAGGCGUCGACGGGUAGCCGGCCUGAGAGGGUGACCGGCCACAAUGGGACUGAGACACGGCCCAGACUCCUACGGGAGGCAGCAGUGGGGAAUAUUGCACAAUGGGAGAAAGCCUGAUGCAGCAACGCCGCGUGAGGGAAGACGGCCUUCGGGUUGUAAACCUCUUUUAGCAGGGAAGAAGCGAAAGUGACGGUACCUGCAGAAAAAGCGCCGGCUAACUACGUG